rnacentral:rRNA from 1 species
UACGUAGGGGGCGAGCGUUGUCCGGAUUUAUUGGGCGUAAAGAGCUCGUAGGCGGUUCGGUAAGUCGGGUGUGAAAUCUCCACGCUCAACGUGGAGGGGCCACUCGAUACUGCCGUGACUCGAGUCCGGUAGAGGAGUGUGGAAUUCCCGGUGUAGCGGUGAAAUGCGCAGAUAUCGGGAGGAACACCAGUGGCGAAAGCGCGUGACUGGGCCACAACUGACGCUAAGGAACGAAAGCCAGGGGAGCGAAAGGG